rnacentral:rRNA from 1 species
GGGGAAUUUUGGACAAUGGGCGCAAGCCUGAUCCAGCCAUGCCGCGUGAGUGAAGAAGGCCUUCGGGUUGUAAAGCUCUUUCGCACGGGAAGAAAACGCGUGGGCUAAUAUCCUGCGCGGAUGACGGUACCUUGACCAGAAGCACCGGCUAACUCCGUGCCAGCAGCCGCGGUAAUACGGAGGGUGCGAGCGUUAAUCGGAAUUACUGGGCGUAAAGCGUGCGCAGGCGGUUUGUUAAGUCGAGAUGUGAAAGCCCCGGGCUCAACCUGGGAUGGUCAUUUCGAACUGGCAAGCUAGAGUCUCGUAGAGGGGGGUAGAAUUCCAGGUGUAGCGGUGAAAUGCGUAGAGAUCUGGAGGAAUACCGGUGGCGAAGGCGGCCCCCUGGACGAAGACUGACGCUCAGGCACGAAAGCGUGGGGAGCAAACA